UAGGGAAUCUUCCACAAUGGACGAAAGUCUGAUGGAGCAACGCCGCGUGAGUGAAGAAGGGUUUCGGCUCGUAAAACUCUGUUGUUAAAGAAGAACAUAUCUGAGAGUAACUGUUCAGGUAUUGACGGUAUUUAACCAGAAAGCCACGGCUAACUACGUCCCAC
rnacentral:rRNA from 1 species